GCCACACCUCUCCACAAGCAGAGGGAGCUGGCUUCAGCCUCAGCCAGCACAGAGAGGGGCCCCCAUAGCGCAGUGGCGGGCUGAAGGGCUCCUUGAGCAUGGCCAGAGUGGACGCCAAGGCUGAGGAGGCGCCGAGAGCCAGUGAGGGCUGCUAGCAUGUUGUCACCUCUCAAUACAUCUGGGGCCUCUUCUUCAUGAAUGGCAGAUGCAGCAGCAGUGUCACAGAUGCCUCCCAAAGGCACCCUCUCUCUGUGGAUGCUGCCAGUCUCCAAGAUUGAGGAUGGUGAUGUCAGCCCUACGGCUGCCCAAGGCCAGUGCUGUUUUUAUUGUUUCCACCACCAUCAACACAGCCAGCAGCAUGAGGGGGGCCAAUAAUGUCAACAGGUUUCAGCAUUUUCUCCAUCAUCACCCUUGGGACUUGGAUAAAACUACUGGAGGGUGGUUCCAAGAUGGCCAAAUAGGAACAGCUCCAGUCUACAGCUCCCAGCAUGAGUGAUGCAGAAGACGAAUGAUUUCUGCAUUUCCAACUCAGAGAGCUGACUUUAGAGGGAUCAAGAAUAGCUUGCUGGAUGGAAGGAG
rnacentral:lncRNA from 1 species